AGCCACUGGACACUCAAUCACCCCUGAGGUGGAUGAUGGUCAGUUCUUCUUGUUUUUUUCUUUUUUUAAGUUUUUUUUUUUUUUUUGAUUUUAAGUCCCAUAUUGUUAACCUACAGUGUAAUACUGGUUUCAGCUGUAAAACAUAGUUAUUCAACACUUCCAUACUUCACCAGCUGCUUAUCGUGCUACGUUUCUGCUUAAUCCUAACAGGGUGUCUUUCUAUCUGGCAACCUUACAUUUCUGUCACCCGUCACUGCCAUAAUGCGGAGUACAGGACAGCAUCUCCCUGUCUACACAGGAGUCCAGGUGGACCUGGCAUCACACCUGCACAGAGGCCAGGUCUCUUGGAGUCAGGAGUGAAGAGCGUGUGGGCAACAGAAGACAUCGCAGACCCGGUUGCUAAAGCUCCUCUCUGAGCCGUGGGAGUGGGAGCCAGGGAAGGAAAAAGAAAAACCCCAAAGGCAUCGCUUCGGUGUGAGUGACCAGUGGCCCUUCCUGUUGGUCACCUCCCCACCUUACCCGCCCCACACCCCCAGCUUCUGGAGACCAGCUCUCCUCUCCCUUCUCUGUGCGUGUUUCUCCAUAACCACCGCCAAGCUCCUCACGGUGAAGAAAGCAAGCCAGGUGAGGGCCCGUGGAGGAGGUCGAGGGCAGGAAGAGGCCCGAAGACCGGCUUCGGCUGGGGCAGGUGCUCCAGCGGGGCUCGGGGAGCCAGGCUCUGCCCACAGGCCUCGGGAGAGGAACGAGCACUUCAGCCGCCGGGCACCAGCUCGCCUGGAGGACCGGCCUGCUCUGCACCUCAUACAAAUUACCCAGAGACUCCUCUUGGUGCCGGCCCCGAUAAUUGCACUGAUAAGGAAGCGGGGGUAGGAAAUGAAUCAAUGGCCCCACACAGGUUUCCUGAGUAUCAGUCUAUCGAAUUACUGCAACUCUAUUGCCCUCUCCUUCCGAGGGUCAUGAGCUAUCUGUCUUGCUCACGAGUGCUGGUGUAGCGCUGAGGCCCGGGUGUAUCACUGUCCCUCAGGUUUACAUUUGCUCCCUCUGCCUCUAGAAGGCUUGUCGGAGUCUCUCUCCAGCUUGGCUUGCUUCCCGCGUUCCCUCCUCCACCUCCUCAGCUUUCCCCUCUGGUCGCCCCGACACACACACACACACACACACACUCACACACACACACACACUCACACACACACACCGCUGCUCUGACUGGCCCAUCAUGGCCCCAAUCCUGGAGUCUUAUUAACUGUAGCUGGAUGAGCCAUCUGAGAGGUAGGAAGACCGUGAGGGGACGCAAGGCUCUGCUGGUCCCCUCCAGCCUAGGUCACCUCUCAUAACACGUGGCAUCUAGCUUACAGGUGAUGCUGUCACCUCGCACCAAAGCCGGGUGGUGGGUCUGAGAGCAAGUGGGGCCCCUCUACAGGUGACAAGCAUAUGGAAUGCAGCCCUCAGGGGUCUGUCACAAGAGGAGGCCAGGCCCCAGAGGAAGCUGCGGAGUUCUACCCACCAGCUUCGCUGACGAGCGCCACAGAGAGAGACCACGUGCUGAACAGUCAUCAUUCCUCGUUGGAAUGGGAGGUGGAGGUAGAGAAUAAAGGCAGAAAGGGAGGUUUCAGGGAUGCGAGAAAGAAAAGCCCCUUGGAGAAGUUUGGAAAGAACCCAAAUACAUGGAGACUAAACAGU
ensembl:lincRNA